GCACCCAUAGCUCAGCGGAUAGAGCAUCGGUCUUCGGAACCGAGUGUCGGGGGUUCGAAUCCCUCUGGGUGCG
rnacentral:tRNA from 1 species